GGUAAAGAGGAGGUCAAUUUACAGCUGAAAUUCUAAAUCUGCACAAAUGCAAGAAAAGUCCUUUUUCUCUGGAAAACUGGAAUAUUGAAAUACUCUUCUGCUAUUGCACCCAGAAAUUAAUUAUAAAUGAUAAUUACAAUGGAGGCUGCCUUUUUUAAAAAAAAUCUCUGAAACAUAUCCAAGAAUCACAACCGGGUGUGCACCAAUGUCCUAAGUCUCUUACACAAUCUCUCCUUUCUCCCCCAGAUGUUGCCUCCUGCUGUGCAAUCUUCACAUCCAAAGAGGCACUAAGAAGCAAAACAUCUGGGAUGCUCUAUUAUAGAAGUUAGUGCUUAGAGGAAAAGAGGGUUAAAAUAACUAAUGUCUCUUUCUGUCAGUCCAUGAAGCCAAUUUGACUUUCCGACGUUUGCCAGUAAGCACAGUGUUCUGUAAAUGCAACGUAUUUUAAAAGUCUCCUGGCCUGUAUCUUUCAUGCUUAUCAAUGGGCUCAUUGGAACUCACAGUUAUGUUUUGUUUUGUAUGUAAUGUUUACCUGUUUGCUUGUGCAGAUGUGUAUGUGUGUGUUUCUGUGUAUAUGUGCUGUGCUGGUGGCAGUAAAUAUACUUGUAAUGGUAAGAGAACGUGAAACUCAAUUAGCCUGUUCUCAGAAAUAAAGAAAUAAGAAAUUGGUUGAGAUUAAUAUCUCCCAUCACAAACACAGUGGGAAAGUUGGUUCUCAUCGGCUCCUGACAGCAGAGUGCCAAUGGAACCAUUAGGCACCAUGCCACCUCUCUUCUCAUGGUACCACAUACAAUUAUGUGAUGAGGUGUGGAGUCUACAUUUUCAAACAAAAGAGAGAUGGCCUCUGGAUAGAUUUAGCAGGCCCAUGGUCUUUCUACGUAAAAAGACGCUGGGGAAAAGGACACCUGAAUAUAUUUUCUGUCUUGUACCCCAACAUCCUUGCUUUCACCCAAUUGUUUCAUUUUAGAAUAAAAUAAUUGUGGUUUUAGAUUAGCUGAACAUGAAUCAGAAUAAAGAAAGAGACAGGGCCCUAUUCAAUUUCAAUUCAAUUACAGAGUUUGGUAUAUCUCUUAGUUUUAGGCCUACUGAUAGCUGCUUGGAGGGUCACUUCUGUUUGGGCAAAAAAUGCCCCUGUCAGGAUGUAUUUGUGAGGUUACUCUGACUGCAUAAACCCCUUCAACUUUGCUCAAUGAUGCUAUCAAAGCUCUCAAUGGAGUUUGAGUUUUAAUUAUUUGCUAUUUAUGUAUUUUGUAAACUCCUCAGAGAAAGUGAUGCUAUAACCACUCAGUAUUAUUAUUAAGGUUAUUAUAUGCAUAUGCACUGCCACUUAUUUUUGAAGAGUAAAUAUUUGUGCUAAUUAUAUCAAUGUCAUCCACUGUGCUAAUUAUAUCAAUAUCCACAUGUUGAUAUUAAUAUAAUUAAUUAGCACAAAGAUUUACUCUUCAAAAAUACAUGGCGGCAUCUCUGAUUCAUUUGCCGUGAGGGGAGCAUGAGGGGAGCACGGUUCUGCAGCACUGUAUUUAGGCUCUGAUAUGCAAUCAGCUUUAAUAAUUACCUAAUACUGCAGGUGGCCUUAGACAAGUAAAAUGGUUUUUUCCAGGUUUCCUGGGAAUUGGAUGCUAAGAUGAAAAGCAUAUGAGUAGCUUUCUUCCAACAUUCUUCUUGGUGAUUAACCAACUAUCCAAGUACAAAGUUGCUCCUAAUUAACCCUGAGGACCCCAAUAUAAAGUCCAUAACAGCAACCCAACUCCGCAGUGACUCAUCGGAGCCAGGGGAACAGAAAUAAGGGAGUCAAGUGAGAUUUUCCUGCUUGGACAUUUGCGAGGAACUGAUGGAAGAGGUUUCCCCAAACUGAAGUCUUUCAGGACUAGUUGUUGCAAAUGAAAGAAGUCCUGCUACUCUAAAGAAUAACUAAACUAGACUGGAGUCACUGAAACUGCUAGAAGAACACCUCAGGCAUAAAUGCCAUGGUGACAUCAUCAGCUCUGUUCACAACCACUCACCAUGAGGCCAUCGCUCUUGUGGAGGACACUGGCUUAGUACUCACUAAGAAACACCUCAGGAAGGGGGCUUGGUAAGUGUUCCUUCCACCAGCUCCAAGACACAAUGAGAUGGAGAGAGCUGGAACAAUUCCCUAUGAUUGCAGCUGGAUAUUUUCACAUGAACUAUCUAGAUAAUGAAGGCAAUGGCAUCUGUGGCAAAGACUGGCCCCAGAUUACAUUUCCAGUCCUUUUGUAUUGAGGAGAGUCUUUGGGACCAAGACAGUAGGAGUGAGUGUACAGGUUCCACAUUCUAUUUCUCUCCUAGUUUUCUGUGGUGAUCUUGGUGACUGCAUGGUAAAGAUGGAGGUGACAAAAGAUGGAAGAAGCCUGGAUCCCUGAAUGACUUCAUGAUGCAGAGCCUUACACUACCCCCAACUCAUAUUAAAACAGUGGUGGGAGGAACAAUAGACCAUUAUUCUGUUAAGGUGCUGAAAUUGUAGGGUUGUAUAUUUGAAGUUAGAGUUUCUUAUACCGAUACAGUAUCCUUACCCUGGUUUGUUGAAGUAAUUAGUCCAAAUAGUUUCUUUGCCUAAAACUGUAGACAGAGCCUAAGCAAUAUUGAAUCCAAGACAAGGUAUAUUUAUCAAAUGCUACUCACUAUACAACACAGCUGAAUGGCUGAAUGUGGCACUUACUUCCUGUGUUGUUACCUGAAAGGACACAAAGAUAGAUGUGUACCCGCCCCCCACCCGCUACACCCUUGUUCUGCUCUCUAAU